rnacentral:misc_RNA from 1 species
AAGUCGUAACAAGGUUUCCGUAGGUGAACCUGCGGAAGGAUCAUUAAUGAAUAACUUUGGCGUGGUUGUAGCUGGCUCUUAGGAGCAUGUGCACACCCGUCAUCUUUAUCUUUCCACCUGUGCACACUAUGUAGAUCUGGAUAACUCUCGCCCUUCUGAGCGGAAACAAGGAUUGCUGCGUCGCAAGGCCAGCUCUCUUUGAAUUUCCAGGUCUAUGUCAUUUACAAACCCCAAUUGAAUGAUGCAGAAUGUCGUCAAUGGGCUCUAAGCCUAUAAAACAAAAUACAACUUUCAGCAACGGAUCUCUUGGCUCUC